CCCGGCCCCUGGAGUCCCCUGGGUCUCUCUAUGUCACCACCAGGAGAGUGAUUUGGUUGAGUGACGCCGACAGAGGGAAAGGAUACGCGGUGGAUUUUCUGUCGUUGUCCCUUCACGCUGUAUCGAGGGACCGGGAGGCCUACCCAUUUCCUUGCAUCUAUACUAAGAUUGAGACGGGUGAUGAGGAUGAUGAAGAGGAGUCCGAAGACUCAUAUUCAGAAAUAAAUGGUGAUUUGGUGUUGUCAAA